rnacentral:rRNA from 1 species
GACGAACGCUGGCGGCGUGCCUAACACAUGCAAGUCGAACGCAGUGGCGCACGGGUGAGUAACGCGUAAUCACCCUGCCCUUCAGAGGGGGACAACCGUUGGAAACGACCUCUAAUACCGCAUACUUACGGUGGGGCUUGCGUCUGAUUAGCUAGUUGGCGGGGUCACGGCCCACCAAGGCGAUGAUCAGUAGACGGUCUGGGAGGGUGAACGGCCACAUUGGGACUGAGACACGGCCCAGACUCCUACGGGAGGCAGCAGGGGGGAAUCUUCCGCAAUGGACGAAAGUCUGACGGAGCAACGCCGCGUGAGUGAUGACGGCUUUCGGGUUGUAAAGCUCUGUUAAUCGGGACGCGGUACCGGAAUAGAAAGCCACGGCUAACUACGUGCCAGCCGCCGCGGUAAUAC